CCAGCCGCCGCGGUAACACCGGCGGCUCGAGUGGUAACCGUUAUUAUUGGGUCUAAAGGGUCUGUAGCCGGCCGGAUAAGUCUCUUGAGAAAUCUGGCAGCUUAACUGUCAGGCUUUCAGGAGAUACUGUCUGGCUCGAGGCCGGGAGAGGUGAGAGGUACUUCAGGGGUAGGGGUGAAAUCUUGUAAUCCUUGAAGGACCACCAGUGGCGAAGGCGUCUCACCAGAACGGACCUGACGGCAAGGGACGAAAGCUAGGGGCACGAACCGGAUUAGAUACCCGGGUAGUCCUAGCCGUAAACGAUACUCGCUAGGUGUCGGCCACGGUGCGACCGUUGUCGGUGCCGUAGGGAAGCCGUGAAGCGAGCCACCUGGGAAGUACGGCCGCAAGGCUGAAACUUAAAGGAAUUGGCGGGGGAGCACCACAACGGGUGGAGCUUGCGGUUUAAUUGGAUUCAACGCCGGAAAGGGCG
rnacentral:rRNA from 1 species